rnacentral:rRNA from 1 species
GAUGGACCCGCGUCUGAUUAGCUAGUUGGUAAGGUAACGGCUUACCAAGGCGACGAUCAGUAGCCGGCCUGAGAGGGUGAACGGCCACAUUGGGACUGAGACACGGCCCAAACUCCUACGGGAGGCAGCAGUGGGGAAUAUUGCACAAUGGGGGAAACCCUGAUGCAGCGACGCCGCGUGAAGGAAGAAGUAUUUCGGUAUGUAAACUUCUAUCAGCAGGGAAGAAAAUGACGGUACCUGACUAAGAAGCCCCGGCUAACUACGUGCCAGCAGCCGCGGUAAUACGUAGGGGGCAAGCGUUAUCCGGAUUUACUGGGUGUAAAGGGAGCGUAGACGGCUAUGCAAGUCUGAUGUGAAAGGCAGGGGCUCAACCCCUGGACUGCAUUGGAAACUGUGUAGCUUGAGUGCAGGAGAGGUAAGUGGAAUUCCUAGUGUAGCGGUGAAAUGCGUAGAUAUUAGGAGGAACACCAGUGGCGAAGGCGACUUACUGGACUGUAACUGACGUUGAGGCUCGAAAGCGUGGGGAGCAAACAGGAUUAGAUACCCUGGUAGUCCACGCC